rnacentral:rRNA from 1 species
CUGUAAGCCGUUGAAGGUGGCCUGUGAGGGUUGCUGGAGGUAUCAGAAGUGCGAAUGCUGACAUAAGUAACGAUAAUGCGGGUGAAAAACCCGCACGCCGGAAGACCAAGGGUUCCUGUCCAACGUUAAUCGGGGCAGGGUGAGUCGACCCCUAAGGCGAGGCCGAAAGGCGUAGUCGAUGGGAAACAGGUUAAUAUUCCUGUACUUGGUGUUACUGCGAAGGGGGGACGGAGAAGGCUAUGUUGGCCGGGCGACGGUUGUCCCGGUUUAAGCAUGUAGGCGGAUG